UUUCCCCCCACGUCUUUGUUUUUCCCUCUUCUUCAAGCCGAUCAUUCAGCCACUUCUUCCAACCCAUCUCUUCAUCUUCUUCGUCUCACUUGCAUGAACGACGAGGCUCACAAAUGGGCAGAGGUCGAAGGUGGGCUCGCGAACGGGGAGACGGCAGUGGACGAACAGCAGACGAAUCCAACGCCUGGGUGGGUUUCAUGGUGGCUGAGCUCAUGAGGCUUUACGGUGGCUUGGGAAUAAAAUGAAGAACUCUCUUAGAUUCUUCCUCUCAAAAUCUCACAUGGGUGUUCACAGAACUUAUACAACAAAUGCAAGUUAAAGGUGUACAGGCUAAAACUCUACUUGGAUAUUUAAGAGAACCAAGGCAACAAGAAAUUCUUCUUCAAGUUGUUGGAUAUUAUUUUCUUUCUUGUUUGUAAGAAUUAUGUACAGUGAGGUUUUUAUUUAUGUAUAUAGUUUUGUUGUGUUCUAACAUUGUAUGUAAUAGAUAGAUUAAUUUCAAUUGUAAAAGUUAGUUUUUUUUUAAAAAAGAAGACAAUUAAAUUGUAAAUAUAAUUAGCUCCUUGUAAAAAAUUUGUUAUAAUAAUCUAUAAGUUUUUAGAUUUGUAUACAAA